AGAGUUUGAUCCUGGCUCAGAGCGAUCGUUGGCGGCAGGCCUAACACAUGCAAGUCGAACGCGUUCUUCGGAACGAGUGGCGGACGGGUGAGUAAUACUUGGGAAUCUACCCUGGAGUGGGGGACAACGUUUGGAAACAGACGCUAAUACCGCAUAAUCCAUAUUGGGAAAACUUUUGUGCUCUAGGAUGAGCCCAAGCUUGAUUAGUUUGUUGGUGGGGUAACGGCCUACCAAGACUACGAUCAAUAGCUGGUUUGAGAGGAUGACCAGCCACACUGGGACUGAGACACGGCCCAGACUCCUACGGGAGGCAGCAGUGGGGAAUAUUGGACAAUGGGCGCAAGCCUGAUCCAGCCAUGCCGCGUGCGCGAUGAAGGCCCUAGGGUUGUAAAGCGCUUUCAGCAGUGAGGAUAAUGACGUUAACUGCAGAAGAAGUCCCGGCUAAUUCCGUGCCAGCAGCCGCGGUAAUACGGAAGGGGCGAACGAUGCUCGGAUUCACUGGGCGUAAAGCGACCGCAGGCGGUUAUAUAAGUUAGAUGUGAAAUCCCGGUGCUCAACGCCGGAACUGCAUUUAAAACUGUAUAACUAGAGUAUAGGAGAGGAGAACGGAAUACCCAGUGUAGAGGUGGAAUUCGUAGAUAUUGGGUGGAACACCAGAAGCGAAGGCGGUUCUCUGGCCUAUUACUGACGCUCAGGGUCGAAAGCGUGGGGAGCAAACAGGAUUAGAUACCUUGGUAGUCCACGCCGUAAACGAUGUGUACUCGCUGUCGGGCAUUCAGUGCUCGGUGGCUAAGCUAACGCGAUAAGUACACCGCCUGGGGAUUACGGCCGCAAGGUUAAAACUCAAAGGAAUUGACGGGGACCCGCACAAGUGGUGGAGCAUGUCGUUUAAUUCGAAGAUACGCGAAGAACCUUACCUGGGCUUGACAUAUGCAUCGUACUUUCCAGAGAUGGAUUGGUCAUUUAGUUGGAUGCAAUACAGGUGUUGCAUGGCUGUCGUCAGCUCGUGUCGUGAGAUGUUGGGUUAAGUCCCGCAACGAGCGCAACCCUCGCCAUCAGUUGCCAGCAUUUAGUUGGGCACUCUGGUGGAACCGCCAAGGAUAACUUGGAGGAAGGUGGGGAUGACGUCAAGUCAUCAUGGCCCUUACGCCCAGGGCUACAGACGUGCUACAAUGGGGUCGACAACGGGAAGCAAUACCGCAAGGUGGAGCAAAUCCUUCAAACGACUCCUCAGUUCAGAUUGUGGUCUGCAACUCGACCGCAUGAAGCUGGAAUCACUAGUAAUCGCGGAUCAGCAUGCCGCGGUGAAUACCGUUCCCGGGUCUUGUACACACCGCCUGUCAAGUCAUGGGAGUUGGGUCUUCUCGAAGCCGGUGAGCUAACCCGUAAGGGAGGCAGCCGUCCACGGAAGGACCAGCGACUGGGACUAAGUCAGAACAAGGUA
rnacentral:rRNA from 1 species